CUCCUUAGGAACUUGCAUGUGUUGACUGACUUGAUUCACCGCAAAGCAUACAUCAGGUCUAGUAAUGGUAAGAUAAAUCAACUUCCCCACUAGCUUCCUAUACAGCUUAGGAUCAUGGAAUGGCUUGCUAUCCUCAAUCUCCCCCUCACGUGGAACCUUGUACCCAUCCUCCAUUGGCAUCUUGGCUGUCUUUCCUCCAUAGGCAUCUGCUCCCUUCAAUAGAUCAAUCACAUACUUCCUUUGAGACAUGAACAAUCCUUCCUUUGAUCUGCAUAUCUCAAUCCCAAGAAAAUACUUCAUUUCCCCCAAGUCUUUAAUCUCAAAGCUUGCCUUGAGAUACUCCUUUGUAGCCUUGAUGCCUUCCUUAUCACUGCCUGUGAUGAUGAUAUCAUCCACAUACACAAGCAAUACCACAAUACCAGAUGAGGUGGUUAGGGUAAAGAGAGUGUGAUCCAAUUCUGACUUUCUGAACCCUCUCCCAUUCAGUGUAGUACUCAACUUGUUGUACCACGCCCUUGGAGACUGCUUGAGACCAUAGAUAGCUUUCCUCAACCUCAACACAUUACCCUUCUUUACUAGAUGUUCAAGACCUGGUGGUGGAUGCAUGUAUACUUCAUCUUCCAACUCUCCUUGAAGGAAUGCAUUCUUCACAUCCAUUUGCCACAAAUCCCACUCAAGAUUCACAGCUAAAGAUAAUACAAUCCUGAUAGUAUGAAGUUUAGCCACAGGAGCAAAGGUCUCAACAUAGUCCUCACCAUAUGUCUGAGUAAAUCCUCUUGCCACCAACCUAGACUUGCGCCUCUCUAUUCUUCCAUCAGGAUGAAACUUGAUUGUGAACACCCAUUUACUAGUCACUGCCUUCUUCCCUUUAGGCAGCUCACUCUCAUACCAUGUUUCAUUCUUAAUCAUGGCUCCGGACUCAUCAGCAACUGAAUCUCUCCACUCCUUUAAAGCCAUAGCUUCUUCAUAUGUCCUUGGAAUAUAGCUCUCAUCCAAGCUUACUGUGAAGGCUAUAUGCUCGUCUGGAAACUCUGCAAAGGAACACAUAGCUUGAGAAGGAUGCUCCACAGCCUGGGCAUUGUAGUACACUCUCGUGUUUACCCAGUUGGAAGCAUCUCUCUUCACCCUUGUGCUCCUCCUCAGCUCCUGAACUUGUUCUUCUUGUGGCUCUUGCCCAUCUUCACUUGAUUGAGCACCACUCUCAUUUGACCCAUCAGGAUCCACUUCCCAAUCUCCACUAGACUGACUACCACUCUCAUCUGAGCCAGUAGACUCUCUUUGCCCAUCUCCACUAGACUGAGCACCACUCUCUACUUCCUGUGUCACCUCUUGAUUAUGCUGGCCUGAAUCUUCUUGAUUUUGCACUUGCUCAUGAGAUUCAGUUCCAUUCCCCCUCUCAUGAUCAAGAGGGGUUGUUCUUUCAGCUUCACUAGUAGGAUUGGAAGACUCUCUUCUUCCAGAUUCCUGAUCCUGGGAUAACCCUAUCCCUAGCUUCUCCAACAGCACCCUCAGUGUUGUUGCUCUAUCAGAUGGAGCUUGAGACAAAUCCUUCAGAUUUUCCCACUCCUUUUCUUCAUAAUACCCUUUGGAUUCAAUAAACUUCACUUCUCUAGAUACCAUCACUCUCCUUGCUUCAGGAUCAUAGACUUGUAUCCCUUUUGAGUGAUAGAGUAUCCAAUAAACAUUGCCUUAGUACUCUUUGCCUCCAGCUUGUUUCUCUGUUCUCCUGGAGUCAUGACAUAGCAUACACACCCAAAUACUCGUAGGUGAUCAAUAAAAGGCUUGCUCUUAUUCAGCACCUCAAAUGGAGACAGAUUCUUCAGUAUCUUGGUUGGGACCCGGUUGAUGAGGUAGCAAGCAGUCUGAACAGCAUCUCCCCAAAAUCUUUUUGGGACAUUUGCAUGAAACAUCAUCGACCUAGCAACCUCCAUCAAGUGCCUAUUCUUCCUCUCAGCUACACCAUUCUGCUGUGGUGUGUAAGGACAACUGGUCUGAUGCACAAUCCCAUGCUUGGCUAGAUGACUCUUGAAGGCAUUGCUGAUGUAUUCACCUCCGUUGUCUGAUCUCAGUACCUUCACAGUAGCAUUGUAUUGAUUAGAUACAUAUGCUUGGAAGUUCAUAAACGCUUCUAGCACCUUAUCUUUAGAUGGAAGCAAUGUGAGCCAUGUAUACUUAGACUUCUCAUCAAUGAAUGUCACAAAGUAUUUAUGGCUGUCUCUAGACAUGCAUGGAGCGGUCCACACAUCCGAGUGAACUAGAUCAAAGCAAUGCUCAUAAGUAGUCUUAGAUGUUGGGAAAACAGUCCUACAAUGCUUUCCUAAUAUGCAUGCUUCACAAUCCAAGUGAUUGAAUGACAUAUUAGGGAUUAUCAAUUCAAUGGCACGAGCAUGAGGAUGUCCUAAUCUAGCAUGCCAAGUAAUAUUAUCAAUCUUCUCAGCAGUACUACUCAAGCAAAUAGAAUCAAAGGGAUUAGAGGUCUUAGCCAAGUCGAGGUGGUAUAGCUGAUUUUUGCUGUCUCCUCUGCCAAUGACUCUCCCAGUCUUCAAAUCUUGAAACUCAACUUCAUCAGGUCUGAAUACUACUUGACAAUCAAGAUCAAUGGUAGCUUUCUUCACAGAUAAUAGAUUUGAAGUGAACUGAGGCAUGUAGAAGGCAGCCGUGUCCUUCUCAAACAGUUUGAGCUUUCCCACUCCUUCUAUUGGGAUCAUAGCACCAUUAGCUAUCCUAACACUCCCUGUUGCAGCCUUGAUCUCACUUAUAAGCCUCCUAUCACUGAUCAUAUGAUGACUUGCUCCAGAAUCAAUCACCAUGGGUUUAGAAGCUCCGGAUUGUAUAGCAUGCUUCUUGCUUGCUGCUAAGGCUUGUACAUGUUCCAUGAACACUCUCCAUUCCUUCCUGGUGAUGCGAUCAUCAGCUCCACUCCCUUUCUCCUGCUCUCUUAACACCCCACUGUCUUCUACUGAUUCCCCCAUGUAGGCUGAGUAAGAACACUCUCCCACAACUCUCUUUCUACCCUUUCCUAUGUUGAUAGAAGCUUUGGAUAGCAUUCUGCACCUUCUCUUCUUCCGGAAGCCCUCACUCCUACUCCCGGUUAGCCUCCAUGAGCCCUCACUCCUACUCAUGGUUAGCUUCUGGAAGCUCUCACUCCUACUCCCAGUUGGCUUCCAUGAGCUCUCACUCCUACUCAUGGUUAGCCUCUCAUCAUCUCUCAUUAUCUCAUACGCCCUUCUUAUAAGCCCACAAAUCUCUUCCAUUUCCGGAAGCUGUUCCCCUCUUAGAACCAUCUCUACCAGCCACCCAUAUGAUGACUCCAUGCUCGCCAAGAGCUUCAAGACCGUCUCUUGCUCUUGUGUAGUAUCCCCAUCCACAUGGGAUCUCAACCCUUGUAGUUCAACCCACAAAUGUUGUAGCUUCCUCACAUGGUUAUUGAACUCUUCUCUUCCUGGUUUACCUCCACUAAUCACCUUCUUGACUUCAUACACUCUCCUAAGACUGAUCUUGUUCUCAUAAACAUCUUCAAUCUUCUCAAGCAGUGUACUUUCUUCAAGACUAAAGCAAUUUCCACUUGUUUCUCUUGCUGUCUGAUCUUUCUCAGCAGCUUUACCCUUCAAAGACUCUUCCUUCUCAUGGUUUCUCCAAACUCCACACCUCUUCAGAGUCGUUUUCAUUUGUGAGAACCACCCCCACUCAUUCCCUCUCUCUUCCAUCUCUUCACGCCUUGCUGAACCACAAGCUAGACCCAUCUUCUGACCUUGUCAAACACCUAAAGGGACUCCCUUGAAGCUGACUCUCCAAAAGAAACACCAACAGACACAAACUUGACUUUUAAAGGAUCUAGCUCUUGAAAAAUCUCAAGAACUCUCAAGAACACUCAAGAACACUCAAGAACAUUUAGAAAAACGAAAUCACUCUCUCCUUUUAAAGUAACCUGGCUCUGAUACCAUAUUAGAUUUGGUGAUUUAAAGAGUGAUUAAGUCUAAUCUGAGAAUUAAAGAGAUUGGAGAUUAAGAACAAGAGAGAGACUUAAGAGAGAGAGACUCAAAACUCCAUUAAUUAAUACUGAUGAGGGUUUACAAGUAUAUAAAGAGAGAGCAACAAGGAAUUUCGAAAUGUAUAAGCAUGUGUAGUCAAAGGACAGGCUGGAACUUCUUUUGAAUCACUUGGCUGUGCUUUCUCACAUGCUUGCACUAGUAGAAAAGCAUCCUCUCCUUUCCAGCAUCAUACAGGCUGUCAAAGUGCUCCCUUAUCCUUCCUUAUCCUCUUUGGUCGAGUUUACUCUCUUCCCUUCACUAAGUUACCUUCUCAUGCCAUCAGAUAACUUCCCAAGUUGUUACUGUGGUUAAACUAAAGUUACCACAGUAAAACUCAAAAGUUACUGUCUACUCCAACUCUCUUCCUCUCUCAAUAUAUCAACUCUUUAUUCUCUCAUCUCAACACUCCCCCUCAAGCUUGACCAUGUGGAACAAGUCAAGCUUGGUAGGACCAUGAGAUCUCCCUCAUUAAAACCUCAUUAAAGAAAACCCAUUGGGACAAAACCUUAAUGAGGAAAAAGAGUAGAGAUCACAUGAUCAGGAGAGUGUAUAGACUAGCCCUUAGGCGAGAGAUCAAUGAGUCCUAACCUGAUGUGUAUGGACUCCAUUGUCUUUUGCCUUGCUGCCUUUGUGAACACAUCUGCUAACUGAUCCUCACUCCGAGUAUAACAAGGUAGAAUCACCCCAAGAAUCAUCAUCUGCCUCACCUUGUGACAAUCAACCUCAAUGUGCUUUGUUCUCUCAUGGAACACAGAGUUAGAUGCAAUGUGGAUAGCUGCUUGAUUAUCACAAUGCAUUGUCAUUGGCGUUGCUUGAAUAAUCUCCAGAUGCUUCAAAAUCCCUUUUAUCCACACUAGCUCAUUUGUAAGCUUCAGCAGUGCUCUAUACUCGGCCUCAGCACUGGAACAAGACACUACCUUCUGCUUCUUACUCUUCCAAGUGACCAAGUUACCACCAAUGAAUGUACAAUAGCCUGUGGUUGAUCUUCUAUCUGCUCUAUCACCAGCCCAAUCCGCAUCACAGUAGCCUACAACCUCAGUACUCUUGUUACAUCCCAUCCAUACUCCAAGGCCAGUAGUUCCAUUCAGAUACAUCAAGAUCCUUUCCACCAUCCGCCAGUGGUGCUCCUUAGGAACUUGCAUGUGUUGACUUACUUGAUUCACCGCAAAGCAUACAUCAGGUCUAGUAAUGGUAAGAUAAAUCAACUUCCCCACUAGCUUCCUAUACAGCUUAGGAUCAUGGAAUGGCUUGCUAUCCUCAAUCUCCCCCUCACGUGGAACCUUGUACCCAUCCUCCAUUGGCAUCUUGGCUGUCUUUCCUCCAUAGGCAUCUGCUCCCUUCAAUAGAUCAAUCACAUACUUCCUUUGAGACAUGAACAAUCCUUCCUUUGAUCUGCAUAUCUCAAUCCCAAGAAAAUAUUUCAUUUCCCCCAAGUCUUUAAUCUCAAAGCUUGCCUUGAGAUAC
rnacentral:lncRNA from 1 species